ACGCUGGCGGCGUGCCUAACACAUGCAAGUCGAGCGGGGACAUGCGACGGAGUCAAAGUUUCGGAUGGAGACAAAGAUGUAUGUUCUAGCGGCGGACGGUGAGUAACGCGUGAGCAACCUGUCCUUCACAGGGGGAUAACACAGCGAAAGUUGUACUAAUACCGCAUGAGACCACAACGGGACAUCCCGCAGGGGGUCAAAGGAGCAAUCCGGUGAAGGGUGGGCUCGCGUCCGAUUAGAUAGUUGGUGAGGUAACGGCCCACCAAGUCAACGAUCGGUAGCCGACCUGAGAGGGUGAUCGGCCACAUUGGGACUGAGACACGGCCCAAACUCCUACGGGAGGCAGCAGUGGGGAAUAUUGGGCAAUGGGGGGAACCCUGACCCAGCAACGCCGCGUGAGGGAAGAAGGUUUUCGGAUCGUAAACCUCUGUCCUUGGUGAAGAGGAAGAGACGGUAGCCAAGGAGGAAGCCCCGGCUAACUACGUGCCAGCAGCUGC
rnacentral:rRNA from 1 species